CUGGCGUGGCGGCUGAACGGCGUCCCGCCGGCGCCGGCGUUCUCGGCGUGGCCCGACAGGCAGCACGGCGUGUACCAGUACAACUAGCUUAGUAGCAGUGCGUGGUGUAGGUACGUGUUAGGACAUGGGACGCGGUUGGUGGGCGCUGCAACGUUUUUUUGGGGAUUUUGUUGGGGACGUACGGUUGCACGCGGCCGGUGGGAUAUGCAUGUGCAUGAGUAGUGGUAGUACUGGUACUGUAUUUUGUCUGGCAUUAUCGUCGAACAAGCCUAGUGUACUAAAUAUAUCAAGUACAUGUCGUUUGUAUUCUCAAGUUUCGAUGCUCUUGGGUUCGAAUUGAGGCGCAAAAUCGGUCUGAAUUUCGUCUCGCGAGCAGCCGGGAUAUGAAACUGGUGUUUAACGACCAACUGUCAACUUUUAACUAUUUCUAACUUUCGUUUUUUUUGUUGGGAACUUUGGAUGUUAUCAAACUUGAAAAUUUGCUACUCCUCCGUUCAGUAAUAAGUGUACUUUUUUCUUUUCUGUCAGUCAAACUAGUUGGACUUUGAUUAAUUUUAUUAAGAAAAGUGCUAGCAUUUAUGACAUCAAAUUAGGCUGCUUAUAGUGGAGAGUAACAU
rnacentral:lncRNA from 1 species